GACGAACGCUGGCGGCGUGCCUAACACAUGCAAGUCGAACGGGAUCCAUGAGAGCUUGCUCUCGGAAGAUCUAGUGGCGAACGGGUGAGUAACACGUGAGAAACCUGCCCUGGAGUGGGGAAUAACUCGGGGAAACCCGAGCUAAUACCGCAUACCCUUGGAUGAUCGCAUGGUCGACCAAGGAAAGAUUUAUCGCUCUAGGAGGGUCUCGCGGCCUAUCAGCUAGUUGGUGGGGUAAUGGCCUACCAAGGCAACGACGGGUAGCUGGUUUGAGAGAACGAUCAGCCACACUGGGACUGAGACACGGCCCAGACUCCUACGGGAGGCAGCAGUGGGGAAUCUUGCGCAAUGGGCGAAAGCCUGACGCAGCAACGCCGCGUGCGGGAUGACGGCCUUCGUGGUUGUAAACCGCUUCUAGCAGGGACGAAAAUGACGGUACCUGCAGAAGAAGCCCGGCUAACUACGUGCCAGCAGCCGCGGUAA
rnacentral:rRNA from 1 species